GGCGAUGAACAUGACGCACUGCACCUGCUUGAUGUUGUCGAAGCCGAUGAUACGGAUGUAACAGUCGGGGUAGGCCUUCUUGCACUCCUCGAACUCAGCGUACACCUGGGUGGCCUCGGUGCAGCCGAACAUGGGCAGCUUCCACAUGGUCCAGUAGCGCCCGUCGUAGUAACAGGGAGACGUGCUGUUCUCACGAUAGACGAACCCGAUCUUGCUGAACUCGAGGCAGGGGAUCCAGUUCUUCCGGAUCAGGUAGUCGAUCUGCUUUAGGACCUCGUCCGUGGAGAGAGGUGGCAGGUAGGAGAGGGUCUCGAACUUCUUGUUGCCCUCCGCCGGCCACACCUGAGCAAUUAACAAUGCCCAUGCAUCAGUUCCUGACUUCCUACUACUCAGUUGCAUUUAACUCAGAUCGAUUGUCGAGCUGUUUAUUCGGUCGUGCAUGCUCUGUAUGUACUCUGUUUCUCUCUACUUAACGAAAAACAUGCUAUUGCGCGUCUUAAAAAAAAGAUCGAUCGAUUGUUACCUGCAUGCACCUGAUCCUUCCGCCGUUGCUGACGUUGCCGAAGCCGGAGCUGCUGGAGCGGCGGCUGACGGGGAGUCUGGCGGUGGACUUGAGCCCCUGGAAUGGAGCGACGGAGGUGGCGGCGGCCAUCGCGGUGGGGGCCAUGGCUUACUAGAGACCAAGCUAGCGAAUAAAACUGAAGCCUCAGUAGCUUGAGUUGAGGCUUGUGGCAAGGGGCACAUAUAACCAAACCAGAGGGGAUGUCAGGAUAUGGCAGGAGUGGCUGCUGUUGGACAGUCCAAACGUUUGUGGCUAGCUCAUGCGGCGUCAGCUGCUCUGUCGUCGUCUGAUGCACCUUUGCUGUAUACGGGAUGCAGGCGCCAACCAAUUAAUGAGAGGAGAGGAGCUGGUGGUCCACAGGCGAGAGAUGAUUUGCCUCCAUCCAACCUCAUACGAACCAGACAGUCCCGGCCAGGUACAAUACAAACGGCAGCAAAGCAUCUGCGUAUGAGCGUAUCCUGUGAAAGGCAUAUGCAAAGAGUACGUGCACACGAGUCCAUGUCGAUGCAAGGGAAAGACAAGACAACCAAUCGGCUUAUUUGUGCCUUCCAACAGUUUUGGAGUUUGCAAACCAAGCUUCGGACAUUCCAACGUUCGAUGUUGGAAGCGAAUACAUCCAAUCUGUGGUUUUCAGUAAUAAAUAUUUGGCAGGGCAAAUUUGUUGGACCGGACGAAUUUGAACCGCAGAGACAACACGUGAAAUAUAUGCAAACACUAACAAAAACGCAGCUCUCAUAUAAAAACGAAUAUCGUGCAUUUGCAAAACUUAUUCAAGUAAAAGGCUAGCUAUUAAGUCAAGAAAAUGUAUGCAAUAAUAUGCAUCAGACCACCCAAACCAUACUUUCACUGGAUUUUAUUAUGAAAAAUUACUGGUCCAAAAUAAAUCCAAAACGAAAUACAACAGGAAACUGGGUGAAAUUGUAGGCUUCCUGGUUUUAGAGCCUGCCCCGCUUUCAAAAAUAGCACUCAAAAUUUACAAGAAAGCAAACAUACGCCCUGUACAUGCUUGCAUGGUAAACGAAACCUUUACAAAUUUCUGGUUAUAUACAUGUUGAUGAUCUCAGAAGAGAUGUACACGCCAGAAAAUUUUUUCCUUCACUUCCAGUAACUCAUAUACAACAUCCACGAACCUUGACGGGCUGCAUGCCCCAAUUGAUGCCAGCAUGUCCCAUACUUGGCAUAUGUGGAUCAGAUGAUAUUUGAAAGACCAGUUGGCAAUAGCCCGCUUGCCGCAUGCGACAUGUACCAUCAAUCAUUACCACUGGUCUUUCAUGCCUUGUCCUCAAUAAUCCAGCUAGUCAUUGUACCCUUGAUUUCACAUACAAUCAGUGAUGAAAGAAGACAGUGCAACAACCACAGCAACGGAAAUGGAUCAACUCAACUGUUGCAACGCCAGAAAGGGUCACCUGGUUCAGUUGAAGUUUCUAGCUAAGAGAUCGUGAGAAUAAACAAGUAGACUAAUUUCCAAAAACAAACGUACCUAGCAAACUGGUAAGCCAACCAUGCAACGGCAAGUUCAAAGCUGAAGGCACAAAUGGACCACAGCCACAGCCAUUCUUCUUGUUGAAGGCUCAUCUGGGGGAUGUGGAAACAGUGGCUGCCGUUCGCCGGUAGAGCUACGGGUGGCUGCUACAGAGUACGACGACGAUUGCUUCGCAAAUGGCACCGCGCGGCAGCCACAAGGGGGCCGUGGGGUGGGGGAGCGCCCAAAGCAUCCUGACGCGGAGGGGGAUGCAAUUUUGCUUCGUGCAUUUGAUUUUAGAGCAGCGUAUAUGGUUCUAGUUAGUUUACUGUGUGCUAAACACGAAGCACAUCAAUUUAAUUUGUAUAACAUCCCAUCCUCCAAAGCCACACCACCUAACUCUUCAAGGGGCAGGCACGCAUACACAUAGCGCCCUACUUACGCUUUAAUCCUCGCUUCGUGUAGAAGGCUUAACCCGAAAGUACUAUGACUGGUGGACAAUGUUAUAGCUGGCUCCACCCUUGCUCAAUUAGCAAGUGGUAGUAAACAUGCGCACCUGCGCUCAUGGGCCACUAUUGGACCUCAACCAAAUUGGGCCGGGUGUCACAUACAUCCCCCACAAAGAACUCGACGUCUUCGUCGGUCCAACUCACCCACACAUGGGCAAAUGUCCAGGAACGUUCCUCUUAGCGCAUGACCAUACGUCCAGUGCCGGCGCCAUAUGCCAUGCCAUGUGUUCCAUCCAGAACCCACACGUGCCAUGUGCCAUAUGUCCGCACACUGACCCGUACGCACAACCUCGAGGGUCGGCUUUGAUACCACUUGUAACACCCCGUCCUCCAAAGCCGCACUGCCUAGCCCUUCCGAGGGGUGGGCACGCAUACACAUAGCACUCUACUUGCACUUUCGUCCUCGCUUCGUAUAAAAGGGUUAACCCGAAGCUGCUAUGGCUGAUGGAUAAAUAUUUAUAAGUUGGCUCCACCCUUGCUCAACUAGUAAGAUGGUACUAAACAUGCGCACCUACGCUCAUGAGUCAUUACUGGGCCUCAACCAAAUUGGGAUGGGUGUCACAUUUGUGUUGUUUGAUUCAACAGUAAACAGAUGUGUGGUUUAUCAAUCCAACUAUUUGAUACCCAUGUGUGAUUCCAUUGGAGAGACCAUGGUCGUUGAUUUGACCUCUAAUUUGAACAUGCUAUGACCUCCAUUGGGGUGAGAUCCGGUUCGAUGCUGCCAUCUGCCCGGUCGAUGUGUUAUGUCUAUAGUUUUUGUGCAAAUGCAUUCUUAUGUGUUAACAGGUGUUUCAAAUUGGCACAAAUUUGAUUUUUUUUGGGCUGCUAUAUAUAGUAGGUUUUGUGCAUAAGAAUAGGGAUUUUUUUGUACUGCUCUAAUCCAAAUGAUGUGAAUAAUGAAUGAUUUGAUGUAAAUAUGGAACUUUUGGAAAUAUUCAAAUGCAGUUAACUGAUGGGUGAUUAGGGCAGGCUAAACUUCUAAUAAUUGCUGUACCUAGAGAUGCCAACCCCGCCCCCGCCCUCUCCCCAAAAAAAGGAAAAAAAGAAAAGCAUAAACCUAACUCUUGCAUGAUGAUCUCUCUGUAUUAGCAGCAUGUGUCUAUCAUAUAUAGAAUCUAUUUGUUGUACCAAAUAGAUGGAGGUGUAUGCCUUGUCUUUAUCAUAUAGAGUCUGAAUUAUCAUAAUAGCCAGCUUAAACCAUGAUUUUGUUCUAGUUUAUGAUGAGUAUGCACAAAUUUAAGAACUAACCUAGUUGUCUCUCGUUGUGGCAUUAAUCUAAUGGUACUACUGUUGUGACUAUCAUGAUGUACGAAAUGUAGUGACAUGCCUAUUUGCUUAGCGGCGUUGCUUGCUACAAAAUGCCUAAAUAGGGUCUUUGAGGCGUUUGGGCAAGCCGCCAACAGAAGUCUAUUGAGGUAAUAACAAAAGCGCCUAGAAAAUGUUGUAAGCCUUUUUAAAAAUACCUUCAGAAACACCUUUUUGAGGUGUGUUCGUCAAAGCGUGCAUGUGUCAACUUUUCCCUUCGUCAAUCUUUUACUACUAAUAAAACUAAACGGGCGAAUAAACAUCAUGCGUCAUGCGUCGGCGGCUCCUCCGCUAUCGUCCUGCCAAAAACUAACGCGGGCCAUCCAAUCCCUUCUCUUGCAUCCUGCGACGUCCGUUCUUCACCUUUGCCAUCCCGCUCGCCCUUCGCCCCGCCUCUCCCUAUUAUCCCCCUUGGUAAAAAAACACCUACCCCGCACGCUCGCUCGGUAGCGCAGCCACUGCUCAACCCACCAUGCCCGCUCGACCUCGCUGGCUCUCGGGACGCCACCCACCAGGCGCUCGCGGUUCGCCAUACCAUGCCUCAACUCCACCCGAGGGCUGCUGCUCCCAUCCACCUCCCUAUUUUGUCGUCCACGUGAUGGCGAAUAGGGAUGCUGGUGCGGCCAUAGAUGGUGGCUUCCUUCCUCCUUCCCAGGCUCUCAGUUCCUGUGGUCAUCAGGAUUUGCACGGUGGCUCCCCUCUCCCUCGUAUCUGCGGCCUGCACGGCGGAUCAGGAGGCUUGGCCAGAAGAAACAGAGAUGGCAGUACGGGGAGGUGCCACCCGGUUCAACUUGCGGUGAGACUGUCAACACCAUAGAGGGAUCUACGGGUUAGUCCCAUCUACAUGCUUUCCAUCCCAAAUCGUGUGUGCAUAUCCAAUAUUUUGAUUUUCGGUUCAAAAAAUCUGAUCAGCAGCCUCUCCUUGCUAUAUGAACGGGUCCAUUCAUUCUCCUUCAGAAUCAGGGUCCAAGUUUAAUCUUUUGUGCUCCGACUCAAAGCCCAAACGCCAGCGCAAUGGGGAUGUCGAAGGUGCUGGUAAUCGGCACAAUUGCCCCCAUCCUUGAUGCAGGCCAGCACCAUGGGGUUGGCGAAGGUACUGGCAGUGGACGCAAUUGCCCCCAUCUUUGAUGCAGUUUCAUUGAAUGUCGAAGAAGCUGCAGGAGCAACUUCUUGGCAACAGUCAGUUGCCAAAUUUAUUUGUAGCCUACGAAUUAACUAGCCAAUUAGUCUUUAGAUAUGAUGUACACCGAUCAAGUAUGUGUAAACCUAUUUUCUACUACUAAUAAAAUUAAACGGGCGAAUAAACAUCGUGCAUCGGCGGCUCCCUCCAUUAUCAUCCUGCCAAAAAACUAACAUGGGCCAUCCAAUCCCUUAUCCUGCUACAUCCAUUCUCAGCCUUCACCAUCCCACUCGCCCUUCGCCACCCCACUCUCCCUUCUCGCCACCUCUCCCAUUACCCCCAUCGGUAAGAGAAACCCUAACCCGCACACUCGCUCGCUGGCACAGCCGCCGCUCCGCCCGCCCUACCCGCUCGACCUUGCUGGCUUUCGGGACGCCACCCGCCGGGCGCUCGCGGUUCGCCGUGCCAUGCCGCAACUCCACCCGAGGGCUGUUGCUCCCAUCCACCUUCCUGUUUUGUCGCCCAUGCGAUUGCGAAUAGGGAUGUCGGCGCGGCCAUAGGCGGCGGCUCCCUUCCUCCUCCGCGGGCUCUCAGUUCCUGCAGUCAUCGGGAUCUGCACAAACCAUGGCAUGGUGGCCCCCCUCUCCCUUGUAUCUACGGCCCAAAGCUGCACGGUGGAUCAGGAGGCGUGGCCACAAGCAACAGAGAUGGCAUUACCGGGAGGUGUCGCCCGAUUCAACUCGCGGUGAGACUGGGUCAUCUGACUCCAUGGAGGGAUCUACAUGUUAGUCCCAUCUACAUGCUUUCCAUCACAAAUCGUGUGUGCAUAUCCAAUAUUUUGAUUUUCCGUGCAAAAAAUGCAUCCUCCCCUUGCUACCAAUGAACGGGUUCUGCCAUUAUCCUUCAAAAUCAGGGUCCAAGUUCAAUCUUUUGUGCUCCCACUCAAAGCCCAAACGGCCAGUGCGAUGGGGAUAUCGAAGGUGCUGGUAACCGGCGCAAUUGCCCCCAUCAUUGAUGCAGGCCAGCACGAUGGGGAUGGCGAACGUGCUGGCAGUGGACGCAAUUGCUUCCAUCCUUAUGCAGUUUCACUGAAUGUCGAGCAAAGCUGCAGGAGCAACUUCUGGGCAACAGCCAGUUGCCAAAUUUAUCUGUAGCCAGGUAAUUUACUAGACAAUUAGUCUUUAGAUAUAAUGUACAUCGAUCAAGUAUGUGUAAAUCUAUCUUCUACUACUAAUAAAACUAAAUGGGCGAAUAAACGUCAUAAGUCGGCGCCUCCCUCAGCUAUGGCUCUGCCAAAAAACUAACGUGGGUUGUCCGAUCCUUCUCUUGCAUCUUGCAACGUCCGUUCUCCACCUUUGCCAUCCCGCUUGCCCUUCGCCAUCCUGCUCGCCCUUCACCCCGCCUCUCCCGUUACCCCCUCGGUGUAAAAAAAAACCUUACCCCGCACGCUCACUUGCUGGCAAAGCCGCUGCUCCACCCGCCAUGCCCGCUUGAUCUCGCUGGCUCUCGGGACUCUACCCACUGAGCGCCCGCGGUUCGCCGUGCCAUGCCGCAACUCAACCCGAGGGCUGCUGCUCCUAUCCAACUUCCUAUUUUGUCACCCAUGUGAUGGCGAAUAGAGAUGUCGGCGCGGCCAUAGGUGGCGGCUCCCUUGCUCCUCCCUGGGCUCUUAGUUCCUGCAGUCAUUGGGAUCUGCAGGACCACGGCGCGGUGGUCCCCUCUCCCUCGUAUCUGUGGCCCAAAACUACACGGCGGGUCAGGAGGCGUGGCCACAAGCAACAGAGAUGGCAGUACCAGGAGGUGCCUUCUGACUCAACUUGCGGUGAGACUGCGUCACCCUACUUCAUGGAGGGAUCUACAUAUUAGUCCCAUCUACAUGCUUUCCAUCCCAAAUCGUGUGUGCGUAUCUAAUAUUUUGAUUUUCUGUGCAACUUGAGCAAAUCAAGUAUUAUGAUGAUCGUAUGUUAUCGCCCUUAGGAAAAAUAUAUAUAACUGGUGUUUUUUUAAUCAUCAUUCUUAGUCACUUUUGGUCCAGUAAGAGUAUUUUUUUUAGCAUGUAACCUUAGCAAAAAAAUAGAGGGGCAUGUGUUGAUGACCGAAAUUGACAAAUUUGGGUGAAGUAGUCUAUAAACCAGUCAGACCGGUUUGAACAUAGUUCUCAAAUUUUAAAUUGGACCUUACCAUUGUGUAGCUCUUGUCGAGACGAUUAAAAUGCAUACGUAGAACGUCCAAUUCGGAGCUUAGGUGAGAGAGUUACAAACUCAGGAAGUUCUGCACCUGAGCCAAACCGGUCAAAUUGGUUUGCAAGGAUGGUUAGACUGGUUUGGUAUGUGUAAACCGAGUUAGGAGUUGUAUUUUCAUAUGGGAUUCGUAAGGGUUUUGAUUCUUAUUGGGGCAAGACCUUCCCUCCCUAUAAAUAUAAAGGGUCACGACCGAUUGUGGGUAAUACAAUCGAUCAAAUACAAAAGCAUCUACUAUUUUUGCUUUAAACCUUUUUCUCUUUGCCCUAGCUUUUCCAACCCCAUCUUGCUAUUAUUCCUUCGUCUCUACGAUGUCUGAGGAUGUUUUAUGUGGUCGCCAACCCUUAGAACAGCCCAAGGUGUGCUUUCCCUGAUGGGGUCCCUCCCUCCCGAGCAUUUGUUUGUUCUUUGCCAGGCUCACCGCUCUGACGGUCCACCAAACCGGUCUAACCGCCUUGUACAGAGGUGUUGCAAGGACCCAUCCGCAUGCUGCACGUUCGAGUGCAAGUAUUUGGUGUGACCCGUUAUCAUGUCAAUACACAAGUUUUGCUAUGCAUAUGUAUCUAGAAAAGCCAAAACGAGGUACAAUUUGGGAUAUGGAGUUUUGGUGUGUAUCUAAAAUCUAUAUAUGUAGAAAAGUUAAAAUGAUCUGCAUUUUAGAGUGGAUGGAGUAUGAUUCAGCUAGUCAAAUCUAUGAUAUUUGCACAGUUUAAAUGCUCUGUGAGAAAAUGUACUCCAAUCAACUCCUUAUGUAUCAUCACAUGUGUUGACACCAGUUUUUGACCAGAGUCAACUGUUGUGGAUAAGAUUCUGAUAGCCAAUGAAAGAGAGCGAAAGAGC
rnacentral:lncRNA from 1 species